rnacentral:rRNA from 1 species
GACGUAGGGCGCGAGCGUUGUCCGGAUUUAUUGGGCGUAAAGAGCUCAUAGGCGGCUUGUCGCGUCGACUGUGAAAUCCCGCGGCUCAACUGCGGGUCUGCAGUCGAUACGGGCAGGCUAGAGUUCGGUAGGGGAGACUGGAAUUCCUGGUGUAGCGGUGAAAUGCGCAGAUAUCAGGAGGAACACCGGUGGCGAAGGCGGGUCUCUGGGCCGAUACUGACGCUGAGGAGCGAAAGCGUGGGGAGCGAACAGG